rnacentral:rRNA from 1 species
CCUACGGGAGGCUGCAGUGGGGAAUAUUGCACAAUGGGGGAAACCUUGAUGCAGCGACGCCGCGUGAGUGAAGCAGUAUUUCGGUAUGUAAAGCACUAUCAGCAGGGAAGAAAAUGACGGUACCUGAUUAAGAAGCCCCUGCUAACUACGUGCCAGCAGCCGCGGUAUGACGUAGGGUGCAAGCGUUAUCCGGAUUUACUGGGUGUAAAGUGAGCGUAGACGGCAGCACAAGUCUGGAGUGAAAUGCCGGGGCUUAACCCCGGAACUGCUUUGGAAACUGUGCAGCUAGAGUGCUGGAGAGGUAAGUAGAAUUCCAAGUGUAGCGGUGAAAUGCGUAGAUAUUAGGAGGAACACCAGUGGCGAAGGCGGCUUACUGGACUGAAACUGACGUUGAGGCGCGAAAGCGUGGGGAGCAAACAGGAUUAGAUACCCCUGGAGUC